UUAAAUCCUUAAUCCAUACGUGGUCGGUGUCCAUCAGCCCAUCGUUGAUGAUUAUUUCCACAAUCCCACGUUUCCCACUUCCCAAUUUCCAGAACACUUUACCAUUACCAUUCAUUUCCUUUAGCUUGCGAGUUCCGCCUUCCUGCUUUCCUUGAAUGAACUGUCCAUAACUCCAUAUUCCCAUGAUCAAUUCUCAAACCAUGAUUUCAUUUUCCAAUCAUUAAAUUACCUUAUAUAUUUAUUUUAUAAUUCCCUAAAUUCCAACAUCUCAAACCUAAAUCCUAAAUUCCCAAUUUCAAUUCCCAAAUGUGAAAUACUCACACAUCUCUCUGGUCCAUCUAUCUAUUCCUACUCCAAAAUUAAUUUCUCAAAAUCAUCAUGCAACAAGAAGAUCUGGAUAAUCCUAACUUUCAUUCUACAUGUUUAUAUGCAAUUCCUCUUAUUUCUUUCAUCUAUUUCCUAAUCAACAUAUGUUUGAAUAAGAUUAUAACUAAUAAAUUAAUAAUGAAGUUAUCCUAACUUGGUAUAUAUUCAAUUUCAGAAAGUACAAAUGGAAAUACAAAUCAAGUAACAAGAAGCCAAAUUGACCAAAAUGCGACAAUUUCCUUAGAGCGAGUAUCGGGAAAGAGGAAGAGGCCUUCAUGGGUCUGGAAGCACUUUGAUAUUCAUAUUGAUCAGAAUUCUAGAAAGCCAAUUGGAAUUUGCAAGUACUAGAAUAACUGUGCCCCAGAAUAAUCUGGCGCAUGCCAUCAGUGCGCUAGAAUGUUCUAGCGCGUGACUUUAUGCGCUAGAAAAUUCUAGCGCUGUACUUCUUUAAAUACGAGCACCUAGAGCAAUUUCGCCAUUUUCGCAUUUGUUUGUUGCUGCUUCUUCUUCUAUUUUCUCUCUCGGCCCUUGACCAUUUCUGCUCAAAUUUUGUUGCUUGCUUCACCAAAAUCGUUCCCAAGUUUUCCCAAACCAUUAAUAUUUAUGGGCUUUUGAGCGCUUGCCUUUUCUCAUUCCUUGGUCGGGGAGAUAGAAUUAUGGAUAUCCCAUCGCUACUUGUUGGGGGUGCCGCGAGGCGGUUGGAAGAGGCGGCUUAACCUGUUGGUAUUCCAGGAGAUGUUCGGGACUAUGAGUCCUACUCAGAUGCGAAGAGCGUUUGUAAGAUGCAGCGUCACGAGGGGUAUGCCUCAUGAGUACUUGGGGUUUGCGGAAAGGACUUGCCGCGUGUGCCCCGUUCUUGCAGAGGAAUUCGAGGUUUCAGCCCCCGAGUGUUUACCUUUGCUUUCUUUUCUUGCGGUAGAAAUUUUCUUAUGACUUUUCAAAGUCCUCUGAAGCAAUGGUUGAACUGUACGAACAAAUAUGUGCAGAGUGAUUAUCAUGCAUGUUUGCUUCAGUUGGAUGAUCAAAAUUCUCACAAACUUGCGAUGUUUUAUUGCCCUUUUAAUUUGGAGCAACUUGCAAAUUCUAAGUAGUUAAUAUUGCUUAGAGAUGAGAUAAGGGACUAGCAUAUUAAGGCUUGUUUUACCCAACUGUACACUAGGAUUUGCUCCCUAUGACAUAUUUAUAGCAUUAGCAUCGAGAAUUUGCAAUAAAAUCGACGUUUGGAGCAGUUUUGAAGUGCUUUCCUCAAGGCCCCAAACAUGGCUACGGGAUUGGGUUUGUGAUAUAAUGCUUGGCAUAUGUUUUACA